rnacentral:lncRNA from 1 species
GUCAAUUUUUCAAGUCAUCCACUUGGCCUUCUUCCCAGAGUAUCCUACUUUCUCUAAUAAAUUCUCACUUUGCUUAAAAGAAAUUCUCUCUCCUUCUUUAAACCUUGCCUGUGUCUCUCAUUUGAAUUCUCUGCGUUGAGAAGUCAAACUACCAAGUUUGCUGCAGAGUUGCCACUCUGGAGUUUCUUCGGACAGCUCACCAGCUGGUAAUGUACUUCGGUGCCAUGACUCAGAUCCAUCAUCUAGUGUUUACCCCACCUGUGUUUAACAAAGAGGCCACCAUCUCACCUUGAGCAGACAUCCAGACAGCAUUAGAUCUGCAAGAGAUUUAUUGGAGAAAAUGACUGUGAAGAAUAGAAGAAAAACUUCAGACCACAAUGCAGAUUUGACCUGUGUGAAGAAGAGUGGAAAGAAGGAGGUUUGAGCAGAAAAAGCAUCAGACUACAGUGAAGUUCUGAGAAAAAUAUGGCCAGGGUAAAGCAUCCUCCAGUCAAAGUCACCUGUCAGAGGAGUCCUACUUUCCAAAGGAAUGACUCAGCAUCUUACAGAGUUCUCUCAGUAAUUGGCUGGGAGCAGCAUAGGAGAAGGAGAGCUUUGAUAUAGAUGUGAGUCUACAGAAGCCUCAGCUGGGAUUGUCAGUCAACUAUUCUCCCUAAAGCAGGAGAUUUGAGUGGCUUAUUUCCAUGGCCACUACUCAAUAAGUAGUACAGAGGCUUAAGCAAUCCACCACGGCCUCACAAGUAUUUAGGACCAAAGGCUCAUACCACCACACAGAGCUAAUCUUUAUUUUUUUAAUUUCGUAGGGUCAGAGGUCUCACUAUAUUGUCCAGACUGCUCUCGAAGUCCUGGGCUCAAGAAAUUCUCCUGCUUUGGCCUCCCCUCAAAGUGCUUGGAUUACAGGCAUUAGACACUGUGCCCAGCCAGUAUUUUUUUUAACCAAAGAGGAGAAUCUUGUUGAGUCUUCUGAAAUGACAUUUUAACAUCUUUCUUUUGAUGUAGACUUUGAUGAUGCUUUAUUGCUUCUUUAUUUCAUAAAUUGACUUUAUUUUAACUUGUAAAAUAUCAAACUACCAAAAUUCCAGAGAAUACUUCAAAAAAUUUCUGGAUACCUAAGAUUUAUCUUUAUUGUUUAUUUAAACCUUUGGGUCAGCCGUUUUCUUCCUCUAUUGGGGAAUCUUUUAUUUCUAUCAUCCUGCCUUAGCUCCAGAUUUUUUUUUAAAUUUUAUUUUAAAGUAUAUGAGUAGAUUACUUGGGCAUAAAAUGUUACCGUAAUGCUGAACAUCAGAUGUCUUCUACUCUUCUUGUUUUAAAACAUUAUAGAAGACUUUUACAUCAAAACUAGGAUGAAAAUAUUAAAAAGUGGUUGUAGAAAUGAAUUAUAAAUAACGUUUUUUCUUCUGAUUGUGUUUGAAAACUAUAAAUUCUCUCAGAUGAAUAAUAUUUAUUAUAACAUAAAUGUUUUAGUCAUAUAGAUAUUUAAAGAUCACUGAAUUUAAUAGUAAUACAUCACUUCCAGUUUUGUUAUUUUAAUUAUAAUAUGAUUAUUUUAUGACAUAUCAAAAAUGGGUUAGAAUUAAUCUCUAUAACAUUUUAAACUAGAAAAUUUUAAUAUAGCUCUUCAAAAUUAGAUUUAUGUAUCCAAUAUACAAAACUUGGAUGAGUGUAAUUUAUUCAUAGGAUGAUUUCUAACUAUCAGUGGGGGCACCCCUCAUUUAUUAAAGCAAUUCAUUUAAUGAAUUCUCAACAAAUUCUGCCUUGGGCUGGAUAUGCAUAAUUUGUAUCCAGUGAAAAUUAGAUAUCUUCAUCUCAGGAAGUAUUUUACCUAAAAAUAAAAGAAAAUAUUGACUUUAUACUACUCUUAUUUUUUCUGAUUCUUUUCAUUAUUUCAGAUGAAUUUCAUUAUGGUCUUGUUCCAGGUUGUUCACGUUAAAACCUAUUUCAAUCAACAUGAUUUUUCUUUCUUUUUUUUUUUUUCUUUUUUUUGAGACGUAGUCUCGCUGUCACCCAGGCUAGAGUGCAAUAGCACAAUCUCUGCUCACUGCAACCUCCAACUCCUGGGUUCAAGUGAUUCUCCUGCCUCAGACUCUCAAGUAACUGGGUUUACAAGUGCCUGCCACCACUCCUGACUAUUUUUUUCUAUUUUUAGUAGAGUCGAGGUUUCACCAUGUUGACCAGGCUGAUCAUGAACUCCUGACCUCAGGAGAUCCACCUGCCUUGCUCUCCCAAAGUGCUGGGAUUACAGGCAUGAGCCACCGUGCCCGGCCAACACUAUUUUUCCUUUGUACUUCUUGCUACUUUAUUGAAAUGAGCAUGUUGCUAUAUCAAAUUGAGCUCUAACACUUAAUAGUUAAGUAAACUUGGGAACGUUUUUUUUUUUUGUAUCAGUUUUGAUAAUAUUUAGGUAUAUACCUAUGAAAAAGACUGCUAACUCAAACCUAAGAUUUGUUUUCCUCCUGAUUUAGAAUAAGAUAACAUUUGAAAUAACUCCAGUUUCCUUUGUGACUACCUAUGGCUGAGUAUAAUAUGGCUUUUGAGAUACAGGAAAAGGGAAGUGUAUAAAAUUCAGGACGGUUCUUUUAAGACACAGCUUGUGUCUCCUUUUUCCCCCUUUUCUUUUUCUGAUUGACUAAAAUGUAGAUGUCAAGUCUGGAGCAUCCAAAUAAAUCUUGAGGAGACUUGGAGAAUAUAAACUCUGCAGGGUGGAACAAAAUAAUAGAAAGUUAUGUCAUGGAAGAUUUUGUGGAAUUUAGCCUCAAUACAAGCUCUGAACUAAUUUUUCCUCCCUAAAAAUAGUAGUAAAUUGAAACCACUAUAUUUUCUUUUCAGAUCUCCUUCUUCAUUUUUUAUAAAUUUCUCAAUUAUCUGUAUAAGAAUAAAUAUUUAUAGAGACAGAUUCUUGAUCCAGGUGCUUAUAAUCAAAUCUUGCUUUUAACACUUAAUAAUAGCUGUGUAAACUUGGGCAAGACAUUUUGCCUAUUUGUGUUUUGGUUCACAAUAGCAAAGACUUGGAACCAACCCAAACGUCC